CUACGGGAGGCAGCAGUGAGGGAUAUUGGACAAUGGGGGCAACCCUGAUCCAGCCAUGCCGCGUGAGUGAUGAAGGCCUUCGGGUCGUAAAACUCUUUCAGAUGUGAAGAUAAUGACGGUAACAUCAGAAGAAGCUCCGGCUAACUUCGUGCCAGCAGCCGCGGUAAUACGAAAGGGGCGAGCGUUGUUCGGAAUCACUGGGCUUAAAGCGUACGUAGGCGGAUUAGAAAGUCAGAUGUGAAAUCCCGGGGCUCAACCCCGGAACUGCAUUUGAAACUUCUAGUCUAGUGUCCCGGAGAGGUUGGCGGAAUUCCGAGUGUAGAGGUGAAAUUCGCAGAUAUUCGGAGGAACACCAGUGGCGUAGGCGGCCAACUGGACGGGUACAGACGCUGAGGUACGAAAGCGUGGGGAGCAAACAGGAUUAGAUACCCCAGUAGUC
rnacentral:rRNA from 1 species